rnacentral:rRNA from 1 species
UACGAAGGGGGCUAGCGUUGCUCGGAAUCACUGGGCGUAAAGGGUGCGUAGGCGGGUCUUUAAGUCAGGGGUGAAAUCCUGGAGCUCAACUCCAGAACUGCCUUUGAUACUGAGGAUCUUUGAGUUCGGGAGAGGUGAGUGGAACUGCGAGUGUAGAGGUGAAAUUCGUAGAUAUUCGCAAGAACACCAGUGGCGAAGGCGGGUCACUGG